rnacentral:lncRNA from 1 species
AAAUGUGUGUGCAUUGGGACAGAAGCCCGAAGUAAAUAAAAAGGAUUUCUGUAUCAUCUGUGGUUUUCUUUACUGAUUUUUCACUCUUUCUCUACGUGGAUAAUUGAUCACUUACUGCAUUGCGUCAAGGAUAUCAAACUUCUUGCUUUCAUUUUCACGAGGACUUCCCCCAACCUACAAACUCCUGGACUAGAUCCAAUGCAGCCUCAGAUCUUGCAGACGACUCAACUAGAAGACAAUCUCCUCCAACAGUUCUGGGCUGCAGCCGUGUAAAGCAAAGAGCAGGAACACAAAACAAACAUUGUCUGAAAAUUCCCUGAGUGAGGCAUUUUAAAAGGAAUAAUGAAGAUGUCUCUGAUAAUUAUAGUAGCAGUAUGAUCGACUCUAACGGGGUGAGAACACCAGUGCAAACUUGGGCCUGAGGCGGCCCUGUGUUUCGUUGGUUUGAAUCCUGGGCGCGGACAUGGCACUGCUCGUCAAACCACGCUGAGGCAGUGUCCCACAUGCCACAACUAGAAGGACCCACAACGAAGAAUAUACAACUAUGUAGCGGGGGGCUUU